rnacentral:tRNA from 1 species
AUAAAUUUGGUGUAAGCAAGCAUAAAAAAUUUUCUUUUUUAAGGAAACUUUAUUAAUAUAAGUUAAUUUAUU